CAAGGAGCUCUUAAAGGGGAAGGACUUGGGGGCUCACGGCGGUGGGCAUAGGCAAGAAGGAAACUUCUGUCCAUUUUAAUCGGAAUGAUUCUCCAGGAUGUAAAAAUUAAUUGGCUCUGACUUGGUUGGACCGGACUGGAUCUCACCACCUCUGCGCUUCUGUGAGUCACUGGCAGAAAGAGGCAGUGGACAGUUGGCCAAGUUUUGACAGUGCUUCAAUUGAGGUUUGAAGACUUCUUGGGAGGCACUGUUUAGUAUGUCAUAAAAGGGUUGUUGGGAUCUUGAUUGGAAUUGGAGUUCAGCGCCCUCUAGAAGAGCCAAUCCUUACUCUUUGGAGCUACGCCCUCACUGAUGUAUACAGUGAAGCCUGCUUAGCAUCAUGGUUGUAGUUGGAUACAGGAUGAGAGACAGAGAGCAGUGAAGAGACAGCACGACAGCUGCCCCUCCUGAGAAGCUCCCAUGUUUCCCUGUCUGGCCAAGGGCUCAAGCGAGAAAGUGCGCCUUCUACCCAGUCAGGUGGAGAUUUUAACUAGAAUGCUCCCUAAGUGAACUUUACCAUUCAAGGGACUCCUCUCAAAUGAAAAGGGACUUCAAAACAGACCACUGGGACAAAUCAAUUUCCUUACAGAAUGACAAAGAAGAUACUUACCAAAAUAAAAAUAAAAUAAAAACAAAUGAUGAUUGAGUCCCAACAUUGAGUUAAGAAGGAAGAGAAAAGGAGAGACAGAGAAGAGAGACACCAUUUCACCACCGGAGUUCCCAGGGUUUGAAUCCAGGACCUAGAGGAUUGGAUGAUGUUCUCUCAUGAAUGGAGCACAUGCUAACACAGGUUCGCCAGCUGUCUGCACCCAGUUAACUAAAGUUUGCGAAUUGAAAAAAAAAAUUCCCAGGUAUAAAUCCCAGAAGAUUUCUUUCAUCCUCUCUGCUCUGGGACCUUGCAAGGAGACGGGGAUAGCAAGGUUUUCAUCAGGAUGUUUGGCAUCAUGUACAGAAAGGUUAGUUGAACAAACUGAAGACUUGGAGGAAAACCAGCUGACAUAUUUAAGCAUGGACUCUCUCAGGGGUGCAGAUUCAUAGACCAGUGAACUGAAAAAAGGGAAGUGACGACUAUUUCUCCUGCCACAUGCGCUUAACCCACUUAACCUGCUGUGCUAGCGCCCAACAAUCUUGAGUAAAGGCUGUUUCUCACACCGCAGAAGAGCAGCACCACAGAAUUCUGCUUCACAGAAACAACUAGAGACCCUGAAGCAAAGCAAACUAGGGACACACCUCAGACGCAAGACUUUGUAACUGAAGGAGUCGGAGCAACAACGAUUAGGAUCCUGGCUUCAUUUAGUUCACAAAAAAACGCCUGCUCAGCCUGGAGAAACCCUAGAGCCCUAAUAUACAGACUUGACAGCCUGCAUCUACCAAUGAAGAGUAUUUCCUAAAGAACUUGGGUUUUCCUGGGAGAAUUAUGAAGAGCUACAAAGCUGAGAUUUGGAGUUUCUACAAAUCACAGCUGCGAUGGUCAGAGGUCAUUUGGGUGGACUACAUUCAUACCCCAGAUACCCUUGCAGGCACAGUGUUCUUUCUCCUCCUAUCUGGAAGCUACCUGCAGCCAGUCCUUCACAAGCAGGCAAUAUACUCAUAAAAUAUAUAGCAGCCAACUAUGUGCCUGGACAUUAUGAGAUAAAAAUCACUAUCGUGGUCUGGCUCCUUUCUUGAGUGGAUCUAUAACUAAUUUCUGCAAAGACUGUGCAUCUAAAUCUGGAUCCCAAACAUCUGGCAGACUUCCUCUGUUAAGCACUAGAUAUCCAGAAGAAAGCCUCUUCGAUAAAGUUAUAGUUCUGUUUGUGGAGCCAUGAGCGCAGGCAACAUAAUGAGGAAAUGCUGACUUGCAGGAAGUUCAAACUGGAUGAGGAAAAGGUGUUUUGCUAUUUUGGCUUCAUGGAUGAGAAGACUGCAGUGAAGCAAAGAGGACAGUUUUCAGCUCUUGAAGAGACCUGUUGGGAUAAACACAUUGAAGAUAAUAGCGUGAGGGCAGGACAAAAGCAGCAGCAUUGUGAAAAUGCCUUCAACCUGAAACAUUCUGACGGAACUAUGCAUGAACAAUGGACCCAAACUGCCUCGUGUGGGUGGAAGAGGAACUGGUCGACCACCGGCGUCCUCUCUGUUCACAGUCAGAAAGAUACCUUCCCUCAGCAAAGUCCAUCAGUUAAUAUUAACAAGGAGAAAGGGAAAGCAUAACUUGGCAGGAAGCUUGGAAUUUCCCCCAGACUCGAGUCAAGAGAUCAUCCAGGAAGGAGUCUAGCUGUAACGCACACCUCUCUUCCUCCGAUGAGAAUGACAAGUGGGGGUGACAAGGCCUGCUCUCCUUUGGCAAACAAACACCCACUCUGAGACUCAUCAGUCUGGACUGACUUUUUUGAGAAACAGAGAAGAAAGACACUAAGCUUCCCACAAUGCACCAGGGGACUGACUUGAACCUCCCUGCGUGCAUGGAAAAAUAGGGCCACUGUGCACGACUUUCUGCAAUGAAAAUAAAGAACUAAGGGCCGUAAGGUGGCACCAGGCUGAGCACAAACAUCACCAUGGACAAGGACCUUGGCUUUAGCCCCCUGGACCCCACCUGUAGCCGGGAAGCUUCACAGGACUCAUGCUACAGGCAGGCCAAGCAAGACCUUCCAACUCCCCUCAGGCAAUGACUUCUCAAUGUUUGUGGGUUGAGGUUGCCAAGCUCCAGGUCACCUGGAGGACCUGCACAUUCU